rnacentral:rRNA from 1 species
UACAGAGGGGGCAAGCGUUAUUCGGAAUUAUUGGGCGUAAAGGGCGCGUAGGCGGUGAGGUAAGUCACCUGUGAAAUCUCCUGGCUCAACUGAGAGCUUGCAGGCGAAACUGCCGUGCUGGAGUGUGGGAGAGGUGAGUGGAAUUCCCGGUGUAGCGGUGAAAUGCGUAGAUAUUGGGAGGAACACCAGUGGCGAAGGCGGCUCACUGGACCGGAACUGACGCUGAGGCGCGAAAGCGUGGGGAGCAAACGGG